rnacentral:misc_RNA from 1 species
UGAUAAAAGCUACCUCUCAAAUAUUAGUUUUCUGAGUUUUACGUUGGAAGAUAAUAAGGAAAGCUGCUCAUUGAAAUUACUACUUAAAGGAUCUUUGUCUGGCGCAAUUGUUAGUCCUGCAACUUUACCUUAUAAACACAAGCAAAAGAAAGAAACCAGACGCACACUUGAAUAACCUUAUAACUACAUCAAAAGGAAACAAAUAAAAUGAAGAAUUAAAAGUGCAAUUGCGAAGCAAUAUAAUCCACAAGUUCAUCUCUUUCUCGAUGCAGUGACUCUCG